rnacentral:rRNA from 1 species
CGAAAGCCUGACGGAGCAACGCCGCGUGAGGGAUGAAGGCCUCUGGGCUGUAAACCUCUUUUAUCAAGGAAGAAGAUCUGACGGUACUUGAUGAAUAAGCCACGGCUAAUUCCGUGCCGGCAGCCGCGGUAAUACGGGAGUGGCAAGCGUUAUCCGGAAUUAUUGGGCGUAAAGCGUCCGCAGGCGGUUUUGAAAGUCUGUUGUUAAAGCGUGGAGCUUAACUCCAUUUCAGCAAUGGAAACUACAAGACUAGAGUGUGGUAGGGGCAGAGGGAAUUCCCGGUGUAGCGGUGAAAUGCGUAGAUAUCGGGAAGAACACCAGUGGCGAAGGCGCUCUGCUGGGCCAUAACUGACGCUCAUGGACGAAAGCCAGGGGAGCGAAAGGGAUUAGAUACCCCUGUAGUCCUGGCCGUAAACGAUGAACACUAGGUGUCGGGGGAAUCGACCCCCUCGGUGUCGUAGCCAACGCGUUAAGUGUUCCGCCUGGGGAGUACGCACGCAAGUGUGAAACUCAAAGGAAUUGACGGGGGCCCGCACAAGCGGUGGAGUAUGUGGUUUAAUUCGAUGCAACGCGAAGAACCUUACCAGGGUUUGACAUCCUGCGAAUCCCUUGGAAACUUGGGAGUGCCUUCGGGAGCGCAGUGACAGGUGGUGCAUGGCUUCUCAGCUC